rnacentral:rRNA from 1 species
CCUUCCCUACGGGACGCAGCAGUGGGAAAUAUUGGGCAAUGGGCGCAAGCCUGACCCAGCAACGCCGCGUGAAGGAAGAAGGCUUUCGGGUUGUAAACUUCUUUUGUCAGGGACGAAGCAAGUGACGGUACCUGACGAAUAAGCCACGGCUAACUACGUGCCAGCAGCCGCGGUAAUACGUAGGUGGCAAGCGUUGUCCGGAUUUAUUGGGUGUAAAGGGCGUGUAGGCGGGAAUGCAAGUCAGAUGUGAAAACUAUGGGCUCAACCCAUAGCCUGCCUUUGAAACUGUAUUUCUUGAGCGCUGG